rnacentral:rRNA from 1 species
AUGAGUAUCGGGGGCCAUCCUCCUUGGAAUUUUGUCACUCUGUUUUUCUUGCUGGUCAAAGUGCGAGUACUGACAGGGGUUUUUGUUCUUAGAUUUGGCCACCGGAGAGGAUUGGUUCGAUUGGUUCAAAGGAGUAGGACACGGCCAGGCCCUGCAUUUGUUGGUGCAUCUUCAUGUCUACCAUUUGAUACUUCACAAUUUUGGUCCUUGCCCCCCGGAAGCCAACCCCGUUCAGCGAAUCUAUGGCAUGAUUCAAUUGGUGUGUCUCAUGUCGUAAAUCAUCCGCCUCAGUCUCGUCUUUCGUUGACGCCGGAGCACAACGUAGUAGUGCUCGGGGGCGCAUCUCUGCGGAAAUCCUUACAAAGUAUCCGAACUGGCUGUGGAGAUUGGAAAAGGAAAUCCCUAAAUGCAUCUCUGAAACAAUGA